UACGUAGGUGGCAAGCGUUGUCCGGAUUUACUGGGCGUAAAGAGCGCGCAGGCGGUCGUUCAAGUCGCGUGUGAAAGCCCCCGGCUCAACUGGGGAGGGUCACGCGAUACUGAUCGACUCGAAGGCAGGAGAGGGUAGUGGAAUUCCCGGUGUAGUGGUGAAAUGCGUAGAUAUCGGGAGGAACACCAGUGCCGAAGGCGACUACCUGGCCUGUUCUUGACGCUGAGGCGCGAAAGCUAGGGGAGCAAACGGG
rnacentral:rRNA from 1 species